rnacentral:rRNA from 1 species
CUACGGGAGGCAGCAGUGAGGAAUAUUGGGCAAUGGGGGAAACCCUGACCCAGCAAUGCCGCGUGCGGGAAGACGCCUUUCGGGGUGUAAACCGCUUUUCUGCAUGAAGAGGAAGGACGGUAGUGCAGGAAUAAGUCACGGCUAACUACGUGCCAGCAGCCGCGGUAAUACAGAGGGUGCGAGCGUUGUCCGGAAUUACUGGGCGUAAAGGGCGCGUAGGCGGCUCGGUAAGUAGGGGGUGAAAUUCCACGGCUCAACCGUGGAACGGCCUUCUAGACUGCCGGACUUGAGCAUGGUAGAGGCAGAUGGAAUUCCCGGUGUAGCGGUGGAAUGCGUAGAGAUCGGGAAGAACACCAGUGGCGAAGGCGGUCUGCUGGGCCAUAGCUGACGCUGAGGCGCGAUAGCGUGGGGAGCAAACAGGAUUAGAUACCCGAGUAGUCC